GGUCGGGGUGGGGGAGAAAGCAAAGAGAGAAAGCAGCAGAGGAAAAUUAAGUUACGGUGGAAAGCAUGGUGUUGGUUGUCAUUUAGAGAAUUUGGAGGCAAAAAGUGGGCACUGUCCUUUUGAAGAUAAGAUAGCUGAUGUUACUUUUCACAUCAUUAGAAGAAGACAUUAAAAGAUUGUCUUGUUUUUGGCUCAGUAUUUUUGUGGGACUUAGAUGUUUUUCACACCUUCCUUGGUUCAUACCUUCAACCUAAAUUCUCAGCUGCCUGCCUGGUAUCUUGGGCAAAGGGUGAAAGCCUGAUCUAGCAAUAUCCAGUGAGUGCGGAAGGGCAAUGCAGCUUGGAGGGAAAAAAUUCCAAAUCUUAGCAAAAGUUACUCAAACUACUAUUUCCUUUACAUAAAUUGAGUGAAAAAGGUAAAUUUUAACUCUCUUAUCAUAAGAGAUUGGAAGGCGUUUUUUUCCCUAACUGGCCGUUAGGAUCAAAUAAAGUACCUUUUGAGCACUUGACCCCUUGUUUAGGUGAUAAAUUUCAUGGUUGCUCUUUAGGCAAUCCCAGGAUUAUUGCAGCUGGUGAAACUUCUAGAAGUCUUGAAGGUGAUGCAAUUCAUGCUUUUGUCAUCCAAAGGUGAAGGAUUUCCAUUGAAGUCAAGCUGUCAAAGGUAUUUCAAGAAGGGCUCUUGCAAUAGUGAGAAGCUGUUGAUAUCUUAAAACACGCCCAUGAAUUGCUAUCCAAAGACCUUUCAAUAGACUCAUUCAGUCUUAUAAUGCAUGAGAUGCAAGAGAACUUAUCUUGUGUCAUUUUCUAGUCAACUUGCUUCUCAGGUAUGGAAUUUCUUCCUCUCAUUCUCUUCAAACAUAUUUUGUGUGUUACUGAAGCUUUGUGUUGAACUUGGAAUGUUUUGUUCAUUCUGUAUAUUUCCAAUUUACCGUGGAUGGGUUUUGGAUAAAGCAAGAAACUUCUUAGUCUUUUCCAUGUCAACUGUUAUCUUAUUGAUCCCUAAGAAUAUAAAUAGAUGGGAUAGACGA